rnacentral:rRNA from 1 species
UACAGAGGGUGCGAGCGUUGUCCGGAAUGACUGGGCGUAAAGGGCAGGUAGGCUGCCUAGUAAGUUAGUAGUGAAAUCCAUGGGCUUAACCUGUGGGCUGCUGCUAAUACUGCUAGGCUAGAGAAAAAAAGAGGAAAAUGGAAUUUCUAGUGGAGAGGUAAAAUUCGUUGAUAUUAGAAGGAACACCAGAGGCGAAGGCGAUUUUCUAUUUUUUUCUGACGCUGAGCUGCGAAAGCUUGGGGAGCAAACAGGAUUAGAUACCCUGGUAGUCCAAGCCGUAAACGAUGAGUGCUGGAUAUUGAAACAUUUUUUCAGUGUCGAAGCUAACGCGUUAAGCACUCCGCCUGGGUAGUAUACCCGCAAGGGUGAAACUCAAAAGAAUAGACGGGGGCUCGCACAAGCGGUGGAGCAUGUGGUUUAAUUCGAAGGUACGCGCAAAACCUUACCAAAUUUUGACAUUAUUCUCUAAAUUCAACAAAAGUUGAGCUCGGUUCGGCCGGGGGAGUAACAGGUGGUGCAUGGCCGUUGUCAGUUCGUGCUGUGAAGUGUUAGGUUAAGUCCUGUAACGAACGCAACCCUUGUGCUUAUUUGCUAACAGGUAAUGCUGAGGACUAUAAGCAGACUGCCAGUGACAAACUGGAGGAAGGAGAGGAUGACUCCAGGUCCACAUGCCCUUUAUGAUUUGGGCUACACAUGUGCUACAAUGGCAACUACAACGAGUCGCAACUGGGCGACCAGAGGCUAAUCUCUAAAAGGUUGUCUUAGUCCGGAUCCAUCUCUGCAACUCGAGAUGGUGAAGCUGAAAUCGCUAGUAAUCGUGGAUCAGAACGCCACGGUGAAUAAGUUCUCGAGCCU